rnacentral:rRNA from 1 species
UACGGAGGGGGCAAGCGUUGUUCGGAGUUACUGGGCGUAAAGCGCGCGUAGGCGGUGCGGUAAGUCAGGGGUUAAAGGCUGCAGCUCAACUGCAGUAAGGCCUUUGAUACUAUCGCGCUAGAGUACCAGAGAGGAUGGCGGAAUUCCCGGUGUAGCGGUGAAAUGCGUAGAGAUCGGGAGGAAUACCAGUGGCGAAGGCGGCCUUCUGGCUGAUAACUGACGCUGAGGUGCGAGAGCGUGGGGAGCAAACAGG